GCGGGGCGGGAGCGGGGGGUCCGGGGCCUGGCUGUGGCCCUCGGCGGUCUCCUGGUCCUGGUCUUCGGCGAGUGCCGUGCUGUCCGGCGCCCGAUAGCCGCCGCCCUCACCUGCGCGCAUCUGCGGCUGACACGUCGGCGGCCGCGGCGGCCACUGCAGAGUCCCGGGAGCCCGGCAGAUGCUGAGUAAAAGCUAGCAGUGGAAAGGCCGAACCUCGGAGCAGGUGCGGCGGGGAAAGGGAAGGGAUGGCCCCUUUUGCUCCGCGGCCACCUGCUGUGCAGACCAGGCCACCCGGCUCUGCUGGGGCAAAAGCCGGCCAGAAACCACCCGGAGCGCCCUCCACUGGCCAGACCACAGAACUCUCGCCCAGCUGCCUAGUGGAGAGGAGCGACUCAACCUCCCAGCUCCAAAGAGUCAGUGCGGUCCACCUUGGCCGCUUCCACCAUCUGUGCCUCUCAGACUGCGCGCGAGUUCUUGUCGCUUAUGAGGAAAUAAAGUGAAGGCAGAUGUG